rnacentral:lncRNA from 1 species
GGGUCCUAAUAAUUCUACAAUUUGUUCUGUAACCUCUAAACCUUUCUCUUUACACCAAAAAUAAAAGCAUGCAAUACAAUCCCAUCUAACCUUCUGAAUGGAAUUGGACCUAUCUUCAAAAUUUCUACUAUUUCUUUCUUUCCAUACUGUCCACCAAAUGCAAUGUGGAAUUAUCCUCCACCAUGCCUUUUGACUCUUGCUCCCCCCUCUUCUUAUCCAACAACUCAACAAAUUUGCAGUAUGCUUGGG